GCUUUGCCAUCAGUGGUGUGAGGAGCAGGCCGGGGCAGUGGGCAAUUGAGCGAGGAACAGCUGCGGGAGGACUCCGCGGACUCCUGAGAACCAGCUUAGGGGAGCGGCGGCUUGGGGAGGUGUAGGGUGGAAUCACGAGAAAGCUCUGUGGGAGGGCCUGGUGCACAGCUCAGCUGCAGGGUGGAGCUGAGGGAAAGCCGGGCGUUCCUGGAGGAGGAGCAGGGCGAGGCUGUGGCAAAGCGCUGUGGGAGCAGAUGGGGCGGGGCUGCGGGAAAGAGCUGGAGAAGGAGGAGCCAAGCUGCACCAAGGCUGGCGGGUGAGAAUUGCGGGGGAGGAGCUAGUGCAGAGCUGGAGGAAAGAGCUGAAAGGUUGUUGGGGUGGGCAGAGGGGUAGGAGAAGCGAGACGGGGCUAGAGGAGGCGGAGCUGGGAGCGGUGAUGAAGGGGUAGCAGGGCGGGGCAGUGGGAAAGAGCUGUGGGAGGAGGAGCUGGGGGUAAGAAGCUGGGGCUGUGGCUGCAGCGGGGACUGGGUCAGAGCUUCUGGAGGAGCCGCCUGCAAGAGGAGGGCGUAGUUGUGGGAAAGAGCUGUGGGCGGAAAUGGUUAAGUGCCGGGUGGAGCAGGGGCUGGCGUCGGAAUAGCUGGGGCGGAGCUGCGGGAGGAGGAGCUGGGGGGCGGAACUGUGGGAGGAACAGCUGGGGCGGAGCUGAGGGAGGAGGAGCAGGGGGGCAGAACAGCUGGGGUGGAGCUGUGGGCGGAGCUGCAAGAGGAGAAGUUGGGGACGGACUUGCAGGAGGAAAAGCUAGGGGUGGAGCUGUGGGUGGAGUUGGGGGAGGGAGCUGAGGCCCUUCUGUGAUGCACCCUUAGGCAAGAGUCCAAACUUUCCCGCGGCGACCUAACUGCACCUCCAGUGUCUUCCCCCAGAGGGCACAGAAGCAGCAAGAAGGGCGGGAACACUUGACUGGGGUCCAUGCAGCUCUAGGCUGAGUCUUGCAGGGCUGAGCCCCCCAGGCCUGCUCUCCUGUGUCCUGGCCGCUCCGUCAGUGCCUGCCAGUGGGGUCCAGAGGGACCGUUUUUUUAACGCCUCUUUUGCAGUCUCCCGCAUUGACUUCAUAACCAAGUUCUGGGUCCCUGCCUCUGGAGUGCCUGAUGAGACAAAACGGCUCCUCGUCCUGCAUCCCCGCUGCUACUUCCAGAAUUCAGGCCUCGUGGUCUGGAGCCUGCACUGUUCCAUGAGCCUCCUGAGCAACCUGGAGUCCUCUGUCUUUCUUCCCUCAGUGAGAUGCGCCUACUUCUCCCUGGAGAAGCUUGAGGAAGCAGAAAUGCUGGAGAUGAGACGGAGUUUUGCUCUUGUUGCCCAGGCUGGUGCAAUCUCGGCUCACCACUACCUCUGCCUUCUGGGCUCAAGCGAUUCUCCUUCCUCAGCCUCCUGAGUGCUGGGAUUACAGAGACCUCGUCCGCACAGGGGCUUGUUCUUCUGUGUCUUUGCAGGGCUGUUUUGGACUCAGUAUUCACCUAAGCACUCCAAAUUGUAAGUAACCCCAGAGAUCAUGGAGUGUCCCACUGCCCCUCCAUCUGAAGGCUGUGACCUCUCCCCCAAGGAGGAGGUGCUCGCAUGCGUCCAGUGCCCUGCCCAUUAGAUUAGGGAGGGUUCCCUUUUUUGCUCUCUUGCACUCAUUUGUCCGCCUUUUAGCUUUCCUUUUCUGCCCUGACUCUCACAGGGUCGUGCGGAUGUGCGAUGUAGGAGGAGGAGAGAGGUAAAGUGGAGGAAUAGGAGCUGGAGGGGAGGAGGAGAGAAGAAAAGAGGAGAAGGAGGGGGAAGAGAGGGAGCGGGUUCAAGGAGGGAAGGAGGAGGAGAAGGAGAGGAGGAGGAGAUGAGACCAAGGAGAAGAGGUGAAGGAGGAGAGGAGGACACAGAAAAGAGAAGAAAGAGGAGAGGAGACGGAGAAGAGGAGGAGGAGUAACAAAGGAGGAAGAAGAGGAAGAGGACUAGAAGAGCAAGUAAGGAGGAGGAGGGGGGAGUAGGAGGAGAGGAGAAGGACAGAAGGGGAAGGAGAGGCAGAUGUGGAGGAGAGGAGGUGGAGGACAGGAGGGGAUGAGAAAGAGGAGGAGAAAAGGAGAGGAGAGGGAUGAGGGGGGAGGAGGAAGAGAAAAGAACAGGAGGAGAAGAGGAGGAGAAAAGGAGGAGGAGUGAAAGAAAAGAGGAGAAGGAGAGGAGGGGGGGAGGACGGGGAGGAAGGGAGAAGGAGAGAAAUAGGAGGAGGGAGGAAAGGAGGAGAGGACGAGAGGAGGAGCAGAGGAGGAGGAGGAGAGGAAGGGGAGGAGAUUUGGAGGAAGAGGGGAGGUGGAAGAAGAAAGGAGAAGGCGGAGAAGAGGAGAAAGCAGAGAGGAGGAGGCUGAAGAAAGGAGGACCAGGAGGAGAGGACGAGGAGGAAAGGAGGAAGAGGAAGAGUGGAAUAAGAGGAGCAGAGGAAAAGGAGGAGGGGGUUGGGGAGGAGUGGAGAGGAGAGGAGGAGGAACAGAGUUGGAGGAGGUGAAAGAGAAAAGAGGAGAAGGAGGAGAGGAAGAGAGAAGGAAAUGAGAAGGAGAAAAGUAGGAAGAAGAAGAGAGAAGAGGAGAGGAUGAGGAGGAGGAGAGGAGAAGGAGAGCAGGAGGUGGGAGGAGGAGGAGAGUAAGAGGAGGAAAUGAGGAGGAAGAAAGGAGGACAGAAGGUGGAGAGGAGGAGGAGAGGAGGAGAAGGAAACGAGGAGGAGGACGAGGCUGCACCACCCUUAUCAGGUUCCAGUUCUCGGUGCGCCCCGUUCUGCAAGACACUCUCCUGUGGUCAGCCCUGGUCUGCAGAGGAUUCCCGCGCUGGAUCUCUGAAGGAUGCUGGCGCCCUCUCUGCAGCACAUUCCUGAUGCCCUUGCUGACACGUGUCCUCUGGGCCCUCUCCUGAAACCUGAUUCUCCGGGGUGUCUUCUGGCCUCACCUCUUCUGUCCAGUUCCAGCAAGCUCACUUUGCUUAGCCUUUGAAUCCCUUCCUUCACUGUCUGCCAUGACAGUUCAGGCCUUUCACCGUCACUCAGGCCUGGACCAUCACUGUUGCCCAUCCCAUGCCAUCAACAGGUUUGCCCCAUCCCUUCGGCUCCCUACCAGGGCAUUCAGUUGUGUUGAGCAGCAGAGUGUCUCCAAGUCCCCACUGGUUGAGCUGCAUCCGGGUCCCAUCCCACAGGGACCCCCUGGCCGCUGCAGAUGCAUGCUGAUCCUGCAGCUCCUCGAGGGUGUCAUCGCUUUCCCCCUUCCCAGACCCAGCACACCCUGCCUGCAUGGCGCUGCGCUGCACCUUCACUCUGGUCACGGGUCUGGCAGUCAGCUCACCAAUUCCUCCUGCUUCCCUGGGACUUGCCGGCUUUUAGCACUGCAAUUCACUCAGCAAACUGGGACUGUUGGUCACCCUACCUGGCAGCCAGUGAUAAGGUGAGGGCCACUCCUGGGAGGGAGGACACCUGUGGGGAAAAUUCUUGUGUUAUUUAUUUCUCCUUCGGGAUAGGGUGCCUGCAGCGCUUCAUGGGAGGGGGUGGGCUGAUGCUGCGGGCUCAGAAGUUUCAAGGGCAUCUGGGGAGACCAGAUAUUCAGAGACCUUCUAGAUGUGCCUGUUCCAUGUAUCAGGGACGCAGGUUUUCCCAACAGGGCUGGUGUCAUUGGCAUGACAGACCUGCCUUGGCUGAGCGUUCACCUGUCUUUGGAGUUCAGCCACCUUAGCAAGUCCUGGGUUUGUUCUUCAGACUUUGCUGCUCGCCCAUUGCCUGGAUCGGGGGCUACUUUGUAAACCACCAGGAAGACUCCAGUGUUUCUGGUUAAUUUUUAGAUGUUUGUUAAUUGCUCUUGGUCUCUCAUUAAUCCCCUGUGGGUCAUCCAGGAAACAUACUCACCACUGUCUGUUCUCUGAGUUUUCAUUUCCAGGCAUCCGCCCUGCCUGGAUCUCCUCACCUGCCAGGAACUUCCUCUCCACAAGCCGGCCAUCCCAGCAAAAGUUCUAACACCAAAGGUCUGGCAACUAGCCUGCCAUCUUGUGCCUGGAGCCGCCUGCGUGCCACCUACUCCCGAAGAUGGGAACCUUGUUGCCAGUUGGGCAGAUGCGGGGCAAUCCUGUACCAAGACCCCAUUUUACCACCUGCUUUCUCAGACCACUCUGGAACCCACUGUCUCAGAUUGUGUCCUCCAGGAAGCAGACCAUGAGAGGGAGUUGGCAGGGCCAAAGAUUUACUGGGGCUAACUAACACUCAGGAAAGGGAUAGGAAGGAAACAGGGCUGGAGAGCAGGUUGAGCCCGACCUGACAGUCUCGAGCAGCCCAACAGGGAGGUGUGGAGCAAGGGUUGCCCACUAGAGGGGCCUGCAUUGGGUACGGGUGAUGGGGUCCACAUGGUACCUGGCAUAUAGCAGGCUGUGCAAUCCAUAUUAACUGACUGGAUAAAUUAAUGCCCAGAAAAGGUGCCCUGGAGAAUGGGUGUGUGCUGAACACAAUAGGGAAGGGCCCAGCAUCUGCCUUGGCAUAGGCAGAACUGUGCUGUGCCCUGCAACAGGCCACCUGAGAGCUGCUUUGAUCUUGUGUGUACAUUAGAUGACUGCCAGGGGCAUGAAGGGGAUGUGCUUCCAGGGCAUUUGCUGGCAGGGCGUCUCGUGAUCUCUUGGUAUUGGUGUGAGCACAGCCUGGCAGGAGAGGGCAGAUCUCCAUGCAAAGUAUGUCAGAAAGCAGAUGGAAGCCAGGCCCCCUCCUGAAAGAGGCUCCUUGAAGGCUCCUGGGACCACAUUAUCAUUCUCUUCACUCGAGAGAUGAGGACACUGAAAUUCAGAGAGGGGAAGUGAUUUGCCUCAGCUUGUACUAAAGAAACAUUUCAACAGAGAACCCAGUGGAAAUUAUGACAUGUUAUCUUCUCAGAGUCCUGAACUCCCAUCCCUACCUCAGAAGAGACUCCUCUGUUCACAGAAGCUAAAGGCAGUUCCUUCCCAAUGGCAACUAUGUUUGGAUGUUGGAUCUACACUUUCUCAAGCACUGUGAUCUUCAAAUCAAAGGAGAUUUCUCCCAUUAUAUACUUCUUAUGAUCAACAAAUUCCAUCAUCUCCCCACUAAGAGAAAGUACUCCAAGAUGAUAGAAUGAUUUUAAAGUUAUGGGACUACAACAGCAGCCACAGGAACCUUGAACUGCCAUCCAGGGCCAUGCAGCAAACAAGCAACAGGGAAAUAUCCCACUAUGCAAUCCUAUUUUGAGAUGAUAUUUAGGAUGAGAGAACAUGCAUUAGUUACCUACCAGCUUGACAGGAAUGGAUUUCCAAAUCUGACACACCAUAGCCUGAAUUCUCACCAGUUUGCUCCUGGAAAGGCCCGCUCAUGCAUGAGCCCCUGCCACUCUUCUAAAUAAGCUUCCAGGCAUUACCUGCAUGCUGUGUUCCUGUGGUGGGAUGGCAGUAAUCUCUGCUAAGAUAAACGGGAGCUUCUGUGGAUAAAGCAUAAACGCAGUGAAGUGUGUGUGGCUGGAAGAUUUAAUGCCUCUACAGUGCUUAGAUACAAGUUGAGCUUGGAAUUCCAGAGGUAGAGCACUGCUGAUUGGAGACAUAUUAAGUAAAAUGUACUGUGGAAAUGAGAUAAAACCUUUAUUCUUGCUAAUGAUUGUCAUUGUAUGUAUUCAGGUGUCCAACAAAGGAUUUUAGAAUAAAGUGUGCCUUUAAAGUUUCCCACCUUCUUAAAGCUCCCAAUGAAUUGCAAAGGGCCUGUUUGGAAUGGACUGUAUUAAAUCUACUUCAAAUGAAAACCUUUACACUGAGUGAAAUAUGGUUCAACAAUUCUUAACACAAGGCCUUUACACUUGUGUAGCCCAUUUUGGUUUGGCCUAUCUUGUCACUAGAAUGCUGUCUGAGCUUGGAUUAUUUAUGCCCUAAGAUUUACUUAAAAUUGAAGGGAGUAUUUCCAUUCAUCAACACUAGUUUUGAUAGAUGCUUAAAAGGUGCAGUGAGGUUGAUGAUCCUGAAUACACAAAUUAUUGAUCACCACAUCAAGUUGGAUUUCCCUAAAGAUGUAUGGCUUUCUGACCUUGUGAUUUACACUAAUGAUUAUGUCUUAAUAAAAGUAAUAAAGCU
rnacentral:lncRNA from 1 species